UUAACUAUUUGCUUUUACUUCAGGCCGCAUGGUUGUUCAGGGUUGUGUUCGGCAGGGGCCCCGGUCAGGAUGCCCCAUUUGCGCCAAAGGUUGUGUGGUUGCAAGCGGAGGGUUGGUGCCGGGCGCCGGAGCGCCCGUGACCCAGUAAUGAUCCUUCCGCAGGUUCACCUACGGAAA
rnacentral:misc_RNA from 1 species